UUUUCUUACCAUGCUUGUAACUCUAAUUCUGCCAUGUGCUUGCUUUUUGGGCAUUCUCAAGAGUAAAGUUUCGUGGCUACAGGCAAUAUUUUGUAUCGUGAUUAUCGCCGUAGGAGUUGUAUGUUCUGCCUUCGGCACGUACUCGGCUCUCUCGAAAAUUAUACAAAACUUGAGUUGAUUCUUUGUAUUAUCCUACUAUUAAGUUUCCUCGUAAAUCAAGGUAUUGUUGUUCUCUCUUUCUAUGGUGUUGCGUGCUAUUAUUUUCUCUGUAAUGGGAACUCAAAAGGCAAAACUAUCUGUGUGCAUCAUCUGUUUUGGGUGAAUAUAUCCAAUCAAUUUUUGACCAUAGUUUGGUUGUUCUUGAGAA